rnacentral:rRNA from 1 species
UACGAGAGGCCCAAACGUUAUUCGGAAUUACUGGGCUUAAAGAGUCCGUAGGCGGCGCAGAAAGUAGGGUGUGAAAGCCCUCGGCUUAACCGAGGAAUUGCGCUCUAAACUACUGUGCUUGAGGAACCUAGAGGUGAGCGGAACUGAUGGUGGAGCGGUGAAAUGCGUUGAUAUCAUCAGGAACACCGGAGGCGAAGGCGGCUCACUGGGGGUU